rnacentral:rRNA from 1 species
UGAAUACGAGACGCUAAGGCGUCGAAGUAGUGUAUGUCAUGCUUCCAAGAAAAGCUUGCACUGUCAUAGAUAAAAAACGCCUGUACCAUAACCGACACAGGUGGGUAGGUAGAGUAUACUAAGGGGCGCGAGAUAACUCUCUCUAAGGAACUCGGCAAAAUAACUCCGUAACUUCGGGAGAAGGAGUGCCUUAUUCUUAAGGUUGCAAUAACAAGAUCCAAGCAACUGUUUAUCAAAAACACAGGUCUCCGCUAAGUCGUAAGACGAUGUAUGGGGGCUGACGCCUGCCCAGUGCCAGAAGGUUAAAGAAGUUGGUUAGCAUUUGCGAAGCUGAUAACUGAAGCCCUGGUGAACGGCGGCCGUAACAAUAACGGUCCUAAGGUAGCGAAAUUCCUUGUCGGGUAAGUACCGACCCGCACGAAAGGCGUAAUGAUUUGGAUACUGUCUCGGAGAGGGGCUCGGUGAAAUAGACUUGUCUGUGAAGAUGCGGACUACCUGCACCAGGACAGAAAGACCCUAUGAAGCUUUACUGUAACUUGAAAUUGAAAUUGGACUUUAUUCGCGCAGCAUAGGUGGGAGGCGUUGAUUAUAAUCUCGUGGAUUAUUGGAGCCAUCAGUGAGAUACCACUCUUGUAAUGUUAGAUUUCUAACUUUGAAUCAUUAUCUGGUCAAAGAACAGUUUCAGGCGGGCAGUUUGACUGGGGCGGUCGCCUCCUAAACGGUAACGGAGGCGUACAAAGGUUUCCUCUGAACGGUUAGAAAUCGUAUCUAGAGUGUAAAGGCAUAAGGAAGCUUGACUGUGAGACCUACAAGUCGAGCAGGGACGAAAGUCGGUCUUAGUGAUCUGACGGUACUGAGUGGAAAGGCCGUCACUCAACGGAUAAAAGUUACUCUAGGGAUAACAGGCUGAUCUCCCCCAAGAGUUCACAUCGACGGGGAGGUUUGGCACCUCGAUGUCGGCUCAUCGCAUCCUGGGGCGGUAGUACGUCCCAAGGGUUGGGCUGUUCGCCCAUGAAAGCAGUACGCGAGCUGGGUUUAGAACGUCGUGAGACAGUUCGGUCCAUAUCCGGUGUAGGCGUUAGAAUAUUGAGAGGAGCCUUCUUUAGUACGAGAGGACCGAGAAGGACAUACCUCUGGUGUACCAGUUAUCGUGCCAACGGUAAACGCUGGGUAGCUAUGUAUGGAGUGGAUAACCGCUGAAAGCAUCUAAGUGGGAAGCCCACCUCAAGAUAAGUAUUCCC